rnacentral:sRNA from 1 species
CCCAAACUCCUUCCCCUACAGUGAGUGACAUAGACUCUCGGCUUCUAUUUGCUAUCUGACGGCUUCUCAGUUCUGCACUCCCUAUGUAAUGGAUGGCGAAGGUUCAGAGAGGUGGAGAGCUUUGAGAACACAUCCUUGGUUAAUAACCCAGUAGAGAGGAACUAGAGUGUCUAUCCCAAGACUUAGUCUUGCCAAUUAAGCAUAUAACAUAUCUUCAUAAAAUCAGGUAAACACUUCAGGUUGUUUCUUCUUGGCCCAUUACUUAAUAUCAGUGCUGGAAAUCCCCAGAGCAAUGCGAAGAAGAGGUCAUAUAGAUUUCAGUGCCAAUGUGAGCCCUCAGACUAUGCCAUCUCUCCUUCAGAUACCUUGAACCCCCAAAUGAAGGUCAAGCACAAGCCUAACCAUCCACUCUGUAGGAAACAUUAGAGCUGUAGUCCUUGUAGACAGAAACCAAGAGUUUUCUCAUUUGGGGCAUUCUGUCAUUUCUUUAAGUAAAAGGGCCAUGGGGUGCCUUGUAACCGUGAUAAUAGUAUUGAAAAAGCCAAAAGUGUUGGCAGGAGCUUGUUGGAAGACUCUGAGAUCGUUAAUAUUAUUGAUCCAGUGAGGCUGCCAGUUGGCACCUGCUAUGUUGCUUUGUUUCUCCCUGUUCCACUAACACAUAGGACACCAUCACCACCUCCUCCACACAAGGGUAGAAUCUGUGUCCAGGGACCCAUGUCCCAGUCAGGAAAGGACUGAUCAGUACCCUUAGAGUCAAUUAAAUCCAAAUGUGAAAUGGUUAUAUAACGCCAUAAACACAAACAAGGGAAGUAAGAAAUGACAGACCCAAAAAAGGGAGGGCCAAUGUGCACAAGACUAGUGAAGAGGUGAGGAACAGGCAUGGUUUGCUCUUCUUAUUUCUUCUGGUGACCUCAGAAUAUCUUUACAAGUCAUGUGCCUUAUGGACAAACCCUGAGAGCACACAGGUGGGACAGCAGAAGAUAGUCUGAGUAGUUGAUGGACAAGUGUAUCACAGCACAGCUAGAACAGGAUGUCAGAACAAGUCAGGGACACAUGUGGCAGUCAGCUUCACAAUGGUGUGGGCCAUUCCCAAAAGCUUGGGUCCUGAAAGGAUGGAGAUGGCUCCAGUAUCACUUCCAAGGGUCUAAGAGUCCAGAGAAAAGAAUCACCUGGUGUCUGGAAGACUCAGAUGAAGACAAGGCUAUAGAGUAAGUGCCAGAGAAUGUUGGAAGAAUAUCUCAGAAAGCAACUAGAACUGGAAUUGAAUGGAAGGGACUGUUGUUUGGUUGGGAAGAAAAGACGGAACCUUUGGUUAGGAUAGGCACUUGAUGUCUGAGCAAUUAACUGAUGGCUCAGUUAAUUGUCCUUUCUGGUAGCCAAACAGAAAAGCAAUCACUUCAGGCAGUGCCUAGAUGUAAACCAUUCUUGAACUUGUUCUUCAGUCUUGGUCCCUUGUAAGAUGGUAACAUGAUAUUCACCUUGCAGUCAUGGCUGUAAUUGGUGGCCUUGCAUUUGCCUUAUUCAACGGUGUCUUCCACUGAGACUGUAUUUACUAUUUGUUCUCAGGGUUCCCGCUGCAGUGUUUUCCCAGGGUACAGGGGCUCAGCUGUGGGAACUAGGCUUUCUUGGCUCCCUGUAAAUUCCACCUGCUGAGAGAUCCAGUUGUCUCUCUGCCAGAGCGAUGAACAUGGUGUAGUGCAGGAAAGUGGGACAAGAAAAGAAUGGAUUGAAAUAAAGGAAAAAAAAAACCCCAACAACAACCGCUGAAAACACAGCAUGCAAGAUGGCAUCAGCAAUGAAAGUCAAUGAUGCAAACACCAUCUGGCCCUGAAAUAUGAACGAGCAUAAAAGGGCAGCUACAGCUCCUGGGAAUCUGUGCUCCAACUGAGCAGGCACUUGCUUGCAUAUCUGCCUGAGACUAUCCUGGACGGGAGCUGGGGGAUGUGCUCUUCUGCAGAACUCUCCAUGAGUGAGAUUCCAUGAAGUUGGGGGAUCCCGCAUGAACAGUCCAUGAAGUCGUUCAUCCUGUUAAUGACACUUCCUAGCACAGUAGCUGUCAUAUGCAGAUAUACAACGAAUGUAUGUGGAAUGGACGAGCUCUUCAUUGACUGAUUAUUUCUCACUGGUUCCCACUAUGUGUUAGGUCACCAUGGAGAGUCCAGCGGAAGGAAUAAGCCAAACAAGAAGAGAAUGAUUGUCUAAAGAAUGAAGCGGUCGGAUUCUGAACCUGUGACAGUGGAGAUGACAGUAGGACUUGUCCUGUAGCUAUGGAAACCUCAGGGCAAGAGUUAGCUCAUGGACUGAGGUCACCCUAGGCUCCUCAGCACAGCACAAGUCUGGAAUAGGAACACCUUUGAGCUUUUCUGCUUUAGUGCCUGCGGGGAUAGGGAAACAGGGAGCUGUGGGGAACAGGCCUGGAGCAAGAGUAGGGUUGAGGCAUGUCCAAACUCUGGAAAUCUCAUCCUGAGAUUGGCAGGGGUAGGAUCGUUACUGCCCUGCCCUGGGCCUGCAUGUUGGGUGUACAUAGCUCUGUGCCCCCACCUCUGCCCCCACUGCAGGAUGACAUGUAAGCCAGAUUAAACCUCCUUUCUCCUUAUAAAGUCAAGUCCAGCAAGCCCCUCCUCAUGCUAAUGAGGCAUCUCAGCACCCUGACCCUCUGCUAAUGAUGUACACUCACCCCAAAAUGUUUAAAUAGCCUUUGCCUCCCCCCUCCAUGAAAAUGAGCUGUCUCACUGAAGCUGCCUCCCAGAGAUUCUCUUCUGCACUCAUGCACCUGAGGUCACUUAGCUCUCAGACUUUCCACCCUGAUCCUUCCCCUCUCAGGAUCUACCAGAUGGGAUCCCAGAGCAUUGUGCCUCCACAGGUGAGGAAGUGGAGCCUGAAAGGCAAAUGCAGACUCUGGGAGAAAAGAGCUGUCACCCACUGCCACUUCUUCCAGUAUCCAGCAGCUCCUGAGAUUGCAUUUCUCUCUAUGUAUCUUCAAGGGUUCACUGAAAGACACAUUGUUUCCUAGCCCUGGGUAAACACCAUCUCUCUGGGAGGAAACGCUAACAUCUAAAUUGUCCCAGUAGUUUAGCGUUACUCGGUGUGAUGGGUGCUGGACAAAGGGGCUUCCCUUCCCCUCGGCCCCCAAGGGUGCUAACUCCCAUUACUUUUGUUUACCCUUAACUGUAUAAGUAUGCACUGAUGGAGCUGAAGUCAUUUAUUCAUCUGUUUCUCCAGCAUGCCUUGUUUGCAUAUGGUGCUGUGUGCCUUUCUCCAGACUACAGGCUCUGACGGAGUCUCCACAGCCAAUGCUGCACUGGGAACAGCACAGAGACUUACUAAGGAGGAACUUGGGCCUGGGUACAGAGAACUGGGGGCUUUUGAGGUCCCAAACUUUUCUGGCUGGAAUCUACACUCCAUUUUUAAUUAGCUUCACGAUCAGACAGUUUUACUCUGAUUGAAGAGGGUGCCUUAAAUUUUUGGUUUGAAUACUGCCUUUUAAUUGCCUGUCUAGUGUUCAGGCAGUAAUUAAACCAUUUUAAUGAAUAGGUGGCUGAGGUGGGGAGGAGUGCACCUGCUUUUCUAGAUAACACUUAUUUGGAAAAAGUUGGAAAAACACAAACUACCCAUUUGCAUUCACUCCCCUCAGCCUUCUGCUUCAGGAAUGACUUACUGAUUCAUUGCAUGGAGGAAUUCUUUAAAACCAAGGAAGAGGGCUCUAAAAACCAUGCUCAGGUUGGCCCUGCAAUGGCACUGUGGAUCUUGGUUGCUCUUGAAGCCAAGGGAUAAGCCUGGACUCAGAGGCCUGUGGAAGAGGGACAUGCUGAGGAUUCUCCAGCAGAAGAAAGCCUGAGUUUCCGUCUCACACUCCUUAGACCGAUGCCAAGUUUGCUUUCUAGUAACUCAUCACUUCUCCUGGAGACAAGCCCCUGGACCCACCUAUGCACACCACGUCCAUGAAGCCAUACAUC